AAAAAUAAUAUGUAUAUCUUAGUUUUAAUUAAGCUUAAUUACUAAUUUGAUCUUAUUUUAAAAUAAUAAAAAAAAUUAAAUUGAAAAAAUUAUGACUCAAUUGAUAAAAAUUUUAAAUAAAGAUUAAAUGAAACAAAGAUGUGUGUCAUGUUACAUUAAUACUGAAUCGACAUAUGAUAUUUAUGUGGCAUUUUUACACGUAACACAA
rnacentral:lncRNA from 1 species